UCCCUGCUGGUCAGCCUGACCAGCGGCUGGGUCUCCCGCACCCGGCGGCACGGCCUGCUCGUGGUGUUCGGCGCCGCCGGCUGGGGCC
rnacentral:tRNA from 3 species